rnacentral:pre_miRNA from 1 species
AUAUUUAUCACCUGGAAAUCUUGUUAAAAUGCAGAUUCUGAGUCAGUAGGUCUGGGAUAGUGCCUGUGAUUCUGCAUUUCUAACAAGUUCCUAGGUGAUGCUAAU